rnacentral:rRNA from 1 species
UAGUCCACGCCGUAAACGAUGUCUACUAGCUGUUUGUGUUCUUGAAACGUGAGUGGCGCAGCUAACGCACUAAGUAGACCGCCUGGGGAGUACGGUCGCAAGAUUAAAACUCAAAUGAAUUGACGGGGGCCCGCACAAGCGGUGGAGCAUGUGGUUUAAUUCGAUGCAACGCGAAGAACCUUACCAUCCCUUGACAUCCAGUGGAUUUAGCAGAGAUGCUUAAGUGCCUUCGGGAACACUGAGACAGGUGCUGCAUGGCUGUCGUCAGCUCGUGUUGUGAAAUGUUGGGUUAAGUCCCGCAACGAGCGCAACCCUUAUCCUUAGUUGCCAGCACAUAAUGGUGGGAACUCUAAGGAGACUGCCGGUGACAAACCGGAGGAAGGUGGGGACGACGUCAAGUCAUCAUGGCCCUUACGGGAUGGGCUACACACGUGCUACAAUGGACGGUACAGAGGGCGGCGAGCCAGCGAUGGUUAGCGAAUCUCUUAAAGCCGUUCGUAGUCC